GGAGGAUGCAAGCGUUAUCCGGAAUCAUUGGGCGUAAAGCGUCCGCAGGUGGUCAAUCGUGUCGGCUGUCAAAGACAGAAGCUCAACUUCUGAGAGGCAGUGGAAACUGGUUGACUAGAGUACGGUAGGGGUCGAGGGAAUUCCCAGUGUAGCGGUGAAAUGCGUAGAGAUUGGGAAGAACACCAGUGGCGAAGGCGCUCGACUGGGCCGUAACUGACACUCAGGGACGAAAGCUAGGGUAGCGAAAGGGAUUAGAUACCCCUGUAGUCUUAGCUGUAAACGAUGAACACUAGGCGUUGCUUGUAUCGACCCGAGCAGUGCCGUAGCCAACGCGUUAAGUGUUCCGCCUGGGGAGUACGCAGGCAACUGUG
rnacentral:rRNA from 1 species